rnacentral:lncRNA from 1 species
UAGCAUAACCCACCCUAUUGGCUAUGUCAUCAGGCCCUAUAAAGUCCCACCAAACAGAUUCCUGAUCAGUCUCUGUUCCACACCUUUGAAAUGUUUAAAAAAACAAGCUCAAUGAAGCUAAAGUUGAACAAGACAUUCGAUUAGGAAAGGUAUUAACCCGAUAAUCCAUUUUGAAGACAUAUAUAUGUUUCUUCAACAAACCAAAAGAUAAAAUAAAAACACAACAAAAACUACAAACUCCAAAGCAAGCGGGUUAACUUUCGCAUCACUCUUGAUCAACCGAAUCACCAGAAACCUCAGUAAACUCGAGGCGACUAAGGGAAGGAUCCGACACCGAAGCAACACCAUAAUCAAGAUCGAGCAAGAUCUCUCGGUCUCUAAGACGCCCCAACUCCUCUUCGAGCUUGAAUCUGUACUCAGUCAAAGCCUCAAUACAAGCUCGC